CGAGCGAGCGGAACUAAAGAUUUACUUCGGUAAUGACGUUAGGAAAGCGAGCGGCGGAUGGGUGAGUAACACGUGGGGAACCUGCCCCAUAGUCUGGGAUACCACUUGGAAACAGGUGCUAAUACCGGAUAAGAAAGCAGAUCGCAUGAUCAGCUUUUAAAAGGCGGCGUAAGCUGUCGCUAUGGGAUGGCCCCGCGGUGCAUUAGCUAGUUGGUAAGGUAAAGGCUUACCAAGGCGAUGAUGCAUAGCCGAGUUGAGAGACUGAUCGGCCACAUUGGGACUGAGACACGGCCCAAACUCCUACGGGAGGCAGCAGUAGGGAAUCUUCCACAAUGGACGCAAGUCUGAUGGAGCAACGCCGCGUGAGUGAAGAAGGUUUUCGGAUCGUAAAGCUCUGUUGUUGGUGAAGAAGGAUAGAGGUAGUAACUGGCCUUUAUUUGACGGUAAUCAACCAGAAAGUCACGGCUAACUACGUGCCAGCAGCCGCGGUAAUACGUAGGUGGCAAGCGUUGUCCGGAUUUAUUGGGCGUAAAGCGAGCGCAGGCGGAAGAAUAAGUCUGAUGUGAAAGCCCUCGGCUUAACCGAGGAACUGCAUCGGAAACUGUUUUUCUUGAGUGCAGAAGAGGAGAGUGGAACUCCAUGUGUAGCGGUGGAAUGCGUAGAUAUAUGGAAGAACACCAGUGGCGAAGGCGGCUCUCUGGUCUGCAACUGACGCUGAGGCUCGAAAGCAUGGGUAGUGAACAGGAUUAGAUACCCUGGUAGUCCAUGCCGUAAACGAUGAGUGCUAAGUGUUGGGAGGUUUCCGCCUCUCAGUGCUGCAGCUAACGCAUUAAG
rnacentral:rRNA from 1 species